GGGCCUUUUUAUGAUCCCCGACUUUCCGUAUUAGCUCUAAAUUCUUUCGGUCUUUUUUAUGAUCCCCGACUUUCCGUAUUAGCUCUAAGUUCUUUAGGUCCUUUUUAUGAUCCCCGACUUUCCGUAUUAGGUCUAAGUUCUUUCGGUCUUUUUUAUGAUCCCCGACUUUCCGUAUUAGCUCUAAGUUCUUUCGGUCAUUUUUAUGAUCCCCGACUUUCCGUAUUAGCUCUAAGUUCUUUCGGUCCUUUUUAUGAUCCCCGACUUUCCGUAUUAGCUCUAAGUUUUUUCGGUCCUUUUUAUGAUCUCCGACUUUCAGUAUUAGCUCUAAGUUUUAACUUUUUGUGUAUUUUUUUGUAUUCUUGUGUAUUUUUGGUUUUUUUUUUAUUAUGUAUUUUGUGUUUUUGUUUAUUUUUGUAUUAGCUCUAAUUUUGUGUAUUUUUGUGUAUUAGGUAUUUUUUGGAUUUUUAAGAAUAACAAAAAAAAAAACGAGAAAGAAUGAGAAUUACCUCGUUGAAGCGGAGACAAGCUUCCCAAGGAUUAGAAUCGAAAUAAAAUAUCCCUAAAGAAGGUAGGGGGCUAGAAGCAGAUCAGUAGGAGUAAGGGCAAAAUGUAUCCAAAAACGGAUAAAAAAGAAAAUACCAUUGAUCCCGACCUUUGUCUUUCCGCUGCUCCUUGACCCUACACAAGUAAAUCAAAACGAAGUUAGCUGUAAGAAUGCAGCACCAUACACAACAUGUAAGAAUAUCAAUAAAUUUUCUAUUUACUUUGAACAUCAGGAGGUGAUGCCGUAGCAGUGGCCUUAAUAGGUUUCUGCUCACAAAUGGAUGUGCAGCUGAGAAAGGAACCAAGAGCAUGGAUUGUUUACUCGAGUAUAUAUAAAUAAUCCAUAGUCUUGGUUCUUUUUAUGGCACCAUUAUCUAUCAGUUUAUUGAAAUUCAAAACUUCAUUAUUUUUUUCUGGUCGUUUGCUAACUAAUGCCAAGAAAUUUCAAGAUACAAUCAGUUCAGAGUACAAUGAACAGCUAGACAUAUAAGCAUAAAAUAGUCUUUGUUCAUAAGAUUUUAUAAGAUAUGAUACAAGAACAUAAUGGUAAAGAAUUUGAGACUAGACAAUACAAACAUAUGAAUAUGCUAAAGGAUAAAACGAAAACGUACCUCUUCUAUCCUAGACUUCGUUCCACCUCUAAUUGACACAGAAUAAUUUUAUUCUUCUUUGCAAUGCAUGUCUCAGUUGACUGCAUCAGUUGCCUUUCCAAAGAUAUUAUAUCUGCUUCUUCAAUCUCCCUAUAUGAGAGAGGAAAAAAACGUGCUGUUAGAUAGCGAUGUCUUUAACACAAGUCUGCCAAUCCAUUGGAUCAGUGUAGACCCACAUACAUCACAGAGAUGACAAGCCUCUGGAAAAAGCUCAUAAUACUAUCCCAACUAAACAUCCAUCACUAUUUAUUUCAUUCAAGAUCACAUGUGAAAUAUAAGUUUCCAUGUUGUGAAGUUUCUUUCCACAUUUUUUUCUUAUGAACAUGCAGGUGGCAGUAUAUACACGGCAUGCAUGUGACAGUAUAUACACGGAGUUCUCAUUAUGUAUGAUUUAUCAUGUAACUCAUUCAGUUGUACGCUAUAUGAAAAAACACUCUUAUUGGUUGCCAAAUAUAUCUACUAUAAAAAAAGAAUGAUAUGCAUAGCAGCUUGAGAAAUAGAUUUGAAUAUUAGUACCUAAUGAAGAGGGAUAUAUAGCUGUAGGGUAAAUUUACAGCUCCAAAUCCAGAUAAGACAGCCAUUAAGGUCACACCAAUGACCCCAAUUCUACUGACGAGCUGAGGCAUUGUAAAAAAACCUUCAAAAUAAAUAGGAUCUUUAAGUCCAUAAGUUUAAUAGACAACAAAAAUAACACAGAAAUGAGAAUGUUGGGAUGCAAAAGCUAAUGCCAAUCAGAAGUAGACAAGCAAAGAAUAAAGAAUAGUUCAUUUCGAGCAUUUUUUCUGAAAUUAUUUAAGGUCAGGUGACGCUGUAGUCUUAUGAUAACAACACUUCAUCUCAAUGCUUCAUUCCUACAAGACAGCAAUGUAUGGAAGCUAAAAAGGAAAGAAGAACCAAAGUUAUCUUAUAUUUGACAACACAGGAAACGGAUUCAAACAAUUGAGAUUCAAUGGUUUUUAUAACAUAGCAUAAACUGAACAAGACACACUCAGAUUCAUUGAUCACCAUAACACAAACGAUUCAAGUUUCAAAAGAACAUAGCACAUCAUUGAUUCAUUACACAUAAACAUCAACAUAACACAUACAAACUGAUUCAUUACACAUAGAAACUGAUUUAUUACACAUAAACAUCAACAUUACACAUACAAACUGAUUCAUUACACAUAAACAUAACAAAAUCAAUACAUUCAAAACAGAUCAAGAUCAAUACAAUGAAACGAAACAACACAUAAACAGAAACUUAACAACACACAAACAGAAAUUUAAUAACACACAAAAAGAAACUAUAUAAGGCUACAUCAUCUACAAACGAAACAAUCAAAGAAACCUAAUUUAUCUCAGAACCAAAUUCAUCACAAUGGAGUAAAUCUAAAUCAGCUUCAUCACGAUCUGUAUUUCUAACAAGCAUAGCGUCACAGAACCCUAAAUUGACUGUUUAUUGUAUCAAAGAACCCUCCGAUCAAACCCAAUUAUGAUAACCAUAAUAUCGAACACAAUCUAAUCCCGAAACAAAUAAACAUAAUAUCUCUAACACAUCAAAUCCCCUAAUUCAUCACAAUGUAAUAAUGUAAACUCUUUGAAUCGUACCAUUACAGAGUGAUUGGAGCAUCAGAGAACAAAAACCCUCGAUUUCUUUCACCACAACAGAUGUCGAUUUCUGUGGCCAAAGAACCCUAACUCCGGUGGAAACAGCUCGCAACGACAGCCGGAGAUGAUGAUUACGACGGCUAAGAGACGAGUUUGGUGGCUACUCUCCUCUGAAAUCAACCCUUCGACAUGAAUCCUUCUUAAUGGCCAUCGAUUUUGAGAGAGAAAGGAGAGAAAGAGAGAAAGAAAAGAAAAACAAUUUACGCGUCUAACUUUUUUUUUUUUUGGUUUUGUUUUUAUGUGCACCCAAUAUUAUUGUGACACGUACACAGUUCUAAACUUGUAUUUACAGGUUAUCAAUUUGACUAUGUAUUUGAUUGGACAAUCUUGAAGUAUCCACAGUUCAGUUCCGGCUCCAGCUCGAGCUCCAAGCCAAGAGUAAGUAACAUCUGUUUUUUCGAAAUUUUCCAUCAUCGUGAAGAAGAGUUCUUAAGAGCAUAUUAUCAAAUUCUCACGUAUGUCUCUGUAUUCCAACAGUCAAGCCUGAGACCAGCUCUGAAUCCUCCAGUACCAACCGCCGAAAGACCAGAUAAACCUUCAGGUAAGCCUUCAAUUGUAUAACCCAUAUCUUUAGUUAACACUUGCCUCAUUUUGUGUGUCUCUUCUCGUGGCUGCUUCUGCUUCUUCGCUCCAUCAAACAGUUUCCCUUUUUGGUUGUAAUGCCAAUCAGGUGCUUUGUGACCAAUUCGCCAUUAGUUUCUGUCUUUUCUUUUUCUUCAUCGUUUAUUCAUCGGUUGAUUUCCUGUUAACUGACUUUGUCAGAAAUGCAUCACGUUCCCUUCUCAUAGUUUGGUGUUUGAACAAAACAGGACAUAGUAAACCAAAAUUUGUGUCUCUGUAUACAGCUGGAGCUGGGCAAGACAGUCGCGAUAGAUUUUCGGGUGCCUUAGAGGCAUAUGCUAGAAGAAAUGGCUCAGGAAGUGGCGCUGUUCAAGCUGAUCGAUCUAGACCAAGAACCUCAGAGAAUGUAUUAGCGUCAUCGAAGGAUUCAACACCGGUGAGUCAUCUACAAACAUAGAAUCUUCUUUUAUAUUAGCUCUGGAAGUCCUUUCUUUUAAACUUUUUAUUGACUAAAACCAGCAAAACUAUGAGAGAGUCGAAAGACCAAUCUCUUCAACAAGACACGCAAGUUCUUCAAGAAAAGCCGUUGUCUCGAGUGUUAGAGCCACUUCUUCAGCUGAUUUCACAGAGAACCGCUCUAGCAGAGUUAUCCCAAACAAUGGCCGUUCCUCAACCGCUCAGAGGACUCAGCUUGUUCCUGAUCCGACCUCUAGACCAUCUUCGUCUUCUUUUGCCCGAGCUGCGCCGUCAAGGACUGCUCGUGAUAUCACGCUCCAGAGCUUUGAGCUACUCACCAUAGGGAAUGGGAAGAGGAAGUGAGGCUUUUUUACACGGUAACACGGUGGUGAAUGAGAGUGGAAGAAACUACGACAUUUUUAUGGAUACUUUGUUCUUAUUUUCACGAAAUUAUCGGUUUCCUAAUUUAAGGAAUAAAUCGAACAUCAUUUGAUUACAAAUUAUAUGUGAUAAAGUAUAUGGUUUUAACUCGUUAAGCUAUGCACUAAAUUCCAUGUGUUUAUCUUACAAUCAAAAGAAGAAAACUAAAUCAAAAUUAAAUGUCACUAGUCCAAGUAAAUAAAAUUUAACUAUGAUUAUUUCUUUUUCAGAUAAAUUUUAAGAAUGUGAUUUAUAAUUUAUUUAGCACAUUCAACAAAAAUUACCAAUUAAAUAAGAAAUAAAUAUAAUUUAAUAACAAAAAUGAAAAGAUUAUAUAAAUUAGCGUACAAUUUUACAUAAGAUAAAGUUGAAGCUUUUAUUAGGAUUUGUUUGAUAGUUGAUUUUUUUGCUAACAUUUUUCUCAAAAUAUCAAAAAAUAAUAUUUUUUGCCGUUUUCCAAAGAGUAUCAUUUUUAAGGUUUUCAUCUUAUUUCCAAUACUGUUCUUAAGACUUAAUCUCUUUUUUUUUUUUUUAAUCUCUACUCUUUCAGUUUACUAGUUAGAGAGAGGGUGUUAUUAUGUAGUGUAUUAUUAAAGAGUAAUUUUUUUUAUAUAUUUCUCUUAAUUUGUGUGAAAACUACUAAGAAUGAGACUCUUUGUGAAGCGGAUGAAGUAUCUUAUAAAUUUUUAGUAAUAUCAACUUGAAGGAGUGGCAACUAAGUCGUUCGAGGAAAGUUCGUUUUAGUGAGCAUAAAGCUGCUCUUACAAAUACCUUGAGAAGUGCAAUCCCAUUUUUCCACUUUCUUAUUCAUCCACUGUCAUAAGUAUGCAUUCAAAACAAACUUUGGAUAAUAAAAGAUCAUGUGGGCAUGGCUAACCUCUUAUGUCACCUCAAACAUUUGGAUGUCAAAGUCUUCUAGUAAAUAACAUAAUUGAGUGUUAUGCCUCAUUAAGGCGAUGGCCAUACAAGCGUAUGCAACCGGUAGGUUCUUGGCCUUUUACAAUUUAGUGAUUUUCAUUACGUUAGUCAAAUUAUGCAUUAACUCUUUUACAUAACUUCUUCAAGAAAUUGAUAUGGUUUAGGGAUCUCUUUUCAUUAUGCAUCUAAAAUAUGUUUGAUGGGCUUAUUUUUCCGAUCUUUUUUUUUAUAUGCAUUUCUUAGUAUGAUUGGGCUUAUUUUACAGAUCUUUGAUUCACAAAUGGAUUAUUAUUGAGUGUAUCUCAACACUUUUUCUAGAUAAACCAUUUUUUUUUAGGAUGAGACUUUUUCCCAGAUUUUCCUAUAUCAUUUCAAGUUAUUAUUGGAUUACAAAUUAAAUUAAUUUUACCAAUGAAAAAUAGAAACACAAUAUAUUAAAAUAAAAUAAAAACUGAAAAGAGAAAUAUUACAUAAAUGAAUAAACAUUAUUCAAAGGUAAAAUAAAAAUUAUUCAAAGAUAACAUUUGCAGAAAAUCCUUGUCUUAAAACCCGAUUUUUCAAUUAAUUGUUUUUUAUUCAUUUAUCGGGGUAAAAGAGAGAAUACUCUUAAUUUUUAAAGCUUUAGUUCAAGAUCUAGAACAUCCUCAUCGUCAUCUUCUAUGACGAUAGUCUCCGGCCACUCUCGCUCCAACUGCUCGAUGAGCGGUAAAGUGCACACUACAUCCUCUGCUGAAAUAUCUUCCUCCACAAUAUAAAGUUGCAGAUCCAGUUGAUGAUGUGGUUGGGGAUGAGGCUGAGGUGAAAAAUGAAACGACCGCCAAUUCAAUUGUGGUUGCACCAUGUUACGAACAAUAAAAUUGAUAUUAUUGUUCUGAUUCAUGGGCACAAAUUGUUGAUUUGGUCUCACAUUUGCGGAAGUCGCAGAGAAUGUGUUUCGGAACCUCAAUGGUUGAUUAAUGUAAGAGUAACUACUGUAAUUAUUUUGAGGUGGAUUUUGGCGAAAACUUGGGUUUAAAUUGGUAUUGGUGUGAAACAAUUCACGGUGUGAGAAAAGUUCUCGAUGGGUGAGAAAGAUUUCUCCACACGUGAAACACAGAGGUUCGUGAUCUGGAUUAACAAACUUCAUUGUAUGGUGGAUAUUAUGAACAAAGGAGAAUUAAAAGAUAUUGUGAAUUAAUCAAAGAACGUGACCUCAUAUACAUAUAUAGGGGGAAUGCAUAUGUCUAUAGGACAUAUUAGGAAUUGCAUAAAUAUUUUAAAUACCAAAUUAGGGAAAAAAUUAUAAAAAAAUACACAUUAACUUUUAUGAUAAGAACAAAAAUUUAUUUCCAAUUUUGAUAAUUAUUUUGAAUUUUUUUGCUUACAUGUGUUGAUUAAAUUUUGUAGUUUUCUAUAUUGCUGUAUAUAUUUAUAAAUCUAUGUUAAGCCAAUUAAGACUAAAUAUAUUAGAUUUUAUAGUGCCAUUUUAAUUACAAUAAUUGCGCUACGACUGUGAGAAGUCAAAACAAAAAUGAUUAUUUGAAAGAGAUUAAAAAGUUUCUUAUUAGUGUAUUUGGAAGUAAAUGAUAGGAUUACAUGGUAUGUUGACUUCUUUUUAUAUUGACCAAGAAAAUGAUAAAAAGAAAAAGAAUUUAGUCAGCCUCAUAAGAGAGUAAUGUUAUCCGCAAAGGAAAGGUUUUCCAAUUAGUUUAUACUAUAAAAAUAUGGGGAUUCUCAAUUUGUUUCUAAAACCAUUAUGAGGGUAAAGAAAACCCGACCAGUAAACCAUUUUCUAUUAUGCAGGUCGCAGGAUAUAACAACUAGCCAGUGGCGGAGCUAGGAUUUGUAUUUAUCGGGGUCAAAUUGCACAAAUAAUAAUUAUAGGGGUUAAUUUCUUCAAUGUACUAGAAUAAUUUUCAAAUUAUAGCUAAAAAUUAACUAAAUUUCAAAGUUUCAUGGGUGUCAUUUGACCCCCAUGAUCUUUGGCUGCCUCCGCCCUGCAACUAGCUGAUGUUAAACUUUGAUGGAAACAAUUAUAGAGAUUGACUAUUAUCCUCUUGACUAAGAGUAUUCUCCCAAUGAAUUUUAGUUUUUAAUUUGGUUGCAAUUUGCAAAUUUUGUUGUAAUUUCACAACGUUGAUGUGAAAUCCAUUACGUAGUAUAUAAUUGGAACUAAUCUAGACCUAGGCAUAUAUCCAAAAACUUUGAUAUUUGGAUUUUUUUUUUUUUUGGUAUUUAUGUACCCGAAAAUAAUUGGAUUUUUAGCGGGUAUGAAAAUCUAUACCAGAUCCAAUUUGAACUCGAAAGGACCCUAAUCGAAUCCAAAUUUUUUUUUUUACAUUUAUCCUAUUGGAUCCUAUAAUCCUCUACCUAAGAAAUCCGAACCCGAACGGUUCAUACCCGAACCCGACCUGAGUACCUGAAUGCCCAUAAGUAAACAAAUCCAUGUCCAAAAUUCUGAAGGAUGACAUUGUUAAGAAAAAUAUUUCCACCUACUCUUUUCAUGUAAUAUAACACCCAGCUGGUACACAUACCAUUCGAUGCAGAACUUGGUGAUCCUUUACACCAUAAUUGGAUAUAUCCUCUCAAUUUUCUUUAAAAUUAAAUUGAAAAGUAAGAUGAAGAACCAAAGAUACCCAUCAUGAUUAAUAAUUUAUUCACUUCUCGAAACACUUUACUACAACUAACUGAAGAAGAUAAAUUAGAAUUAGCAAUUACAUUUUUCACUUUCAACUUUAAGAGUUAAGAUUAUAAUUUUUUUCAAAUCCUUAAAAUAUUUUCAUACAUAUGCAGUUGUCUUAUAUUUGUCUUCUUCCACGAACAGUGUUUUUAGGAUGAUAUUUUUUUCAAGCAUUCAAAAGAAACCAAUACCAAUGGCACCAUGGUAGAAAAUUGUUGGACUUUAUCAAUAAGAAAACAAAAGUCAUAUGCCUGAAGGUAGAAUUGACCAAAUAAAUUAGAUAGCUCAGUAAAAAUAAAGUUUGAACCUUAACCUAGGAAUUACUUUAAACAUAUAGAUGUUAUUGUUCUCAGUAUAAUCUUUGGAAGCUUGAAUUUACAAAGGUUUUUACCAGAAGUUCACGGCAUUAUUUCUGAUAUUUUCCUUUGUAUUUCUCGCUUUUCUUCUUUUGUUUGUCGCUUUAUCCCUCGGUCUACAAACGGUGUAGCCGACUCUCUUGCAAAACAUUGCCUUAGCUUGUAUGGUUCGAACUUCUAGUUUUUAUAUAUAAAUGCUGGGGGUGCACAAAAAAAAAAAACCUUAACCUAGGAAUUACUUUAAACAUAUUGAUGGUAUUGUUCUCAAAUAUAAUCUUUGGAAGCUUGAAUUUACAAAAGUUUGAUAUAUCCCCUACUUAGUAGCAUAGAAAUAAAUAUUAUUUCCUCAUUCCCCCAACUACAUAUCCGCUUGCACAGUUUGAAAUAUUGAAGAAUUAAGCAUGUGAUAGAACAACACUAGCACUAACUAUCAAUAGCUUACUAAUUUAUGAAGAUAGUACAUGGAGUUAAAUAAGCGAAAAGCAAGCAACCGUAAAAAAAUUUUACUCACGCUUACGGGUGGGUGUUCAUAUAUCUGUUUGGGUAAGGUAUUUUGAGCUCUCGGGUUCAGAGGUAUAUGAUCUAUUAUGUUAUGACUAAAUUUCAGCUUCGUAUUGGGUAAAACAUUUGUAUUAAAAUAAAAAAAAAUUGUAUUAAAAUCGGUCCAAACUGUUCGAAAUACCUAAAACCUAUAUAUAUAAUAGGACAGUUCUCUCUCCAUCUAGCCUAUCGACAUCAUCAUCCACCUCAUUAAGAUUUUUUUAAAAACAAAGUAUAUUUAAAAUGUUUAUUAAAUGCAUAUUUAUGUACUCAUAAUUGAUAGAAAAAUUAAUUAAAUAGAAAAGAAUUAAAAUAAGAAAAAAAGAAUUAAACUAAAUAAACAAAAUUUAAAAAUCCUAAAAUAAAUAUUGUUAAAAUGUUAUUAGUAAUCAUCACAUUUCCAAUGAUUUAAUGUGGUAAUGAGAUUUAUAAUGGAAGAAAACUAUUAUAUGCAUGGUAGAGUAAAAAAAUAUAUAUGACUAUAUAUAUAAAACUUAUAAACAAGAAUAUAUAUAUAUAUAUAUAUAUAUAUAUAUCUAUAUCUAUAUAUAUAAAGUUAACUUUUUCUCUUUUCUCCUUAAGCCACAUCAUCAUCCACCUCAUUUUAUUAUUUAAUUUUUAAAAUUAAUUAUACAAUUUUAUCAUUUAAUUUUAAUAUUUAAACCUAUGUAAAUAAGUUUUUCAAAAAUGAAUAUGAAAGGUCUUUUUUAUAUUAUACAUUAUAAAACUAAAAAAGAUAAUUGAUUAAAAGUUAAAAAACUUACUAAUUAUCGAUUAUACUAACAAAUAUAUAUAAAUAAUAUAUUAUAGUUUUUAGUGAAUGUUUAAAAUAUAUAUAUGAUUAUAUUUACACAAUGUAAACCUAAAUAUAAUGGGAUUUAACGGGAAUAGAGCAAAAAGUAAGAAAUUUUGAGAAUAUAAAUCUAUCUAAUUUAUGUCUUAAAAAAUUUUCUAACAUAAAUGAGAUAGGUCGGACGAAACAUGAAUUCUCAUUUUUAUAAACAUAUAAAAAGGUAAAAAUAAAAAUAAUAUUUCUUUAAAAGUUUCCACUAUGAAUUUAACUAUUUUUUUCCAAUACAACACAUAUGUUAAACUAAUAAACAAAAUAAAAAAUUAACUAUAUUUCAUAAAAUUGAAAAUUAAAAUAAAAAACAUUAUUUAAUGAAAUAAAAUAAAAUUAAAGUAAAUUACACUAAUAUGUUUAAUUUAAAAAUGGUUCCAUAUGAAAAAACAAAAAAAACAUAUAAAACAUAAUCAGAAAAAUAUAUAAUAGUAUAUAAAUGAUCAUUACGAGAUAUAAAGUAUGACAAAUCCAAAAAAGGAAAAUGUAAAACAAAAAAUAAUAAAUUAUGACAAUAUAUAGAGAGAUAAUGUAAACAAUUAAAAAUAUAACAAUCCGCCCGAAACCCACAAAUCAUGUUCAAAUUUCAUGCCAACAUAUAAAAGGGCCCAAAAUAUUAACAUCUAGAUCUAUAUUUGGUAAAAACCCUAAUAGCACACGUUUCUCAAUGAUUCUCAACCGCACUUCCAUUUACGCCCACACUUCGACUUAUACUAUACACACUUAAUUUCUCAACAACUAAUGAAGCUAAAACUCAGUAUUUUUUCUAUACAAACACAAUUUAAGUUUUAAAAAGGUAAAGUAUGGUAUAAUGAAAAAAUAAGUAGAAAAUAAAAUACGAAUUAAUUACUCAUAAACAACAUAAUAAACUCCUGCGCGUAGCGCGGACAACCGACUAGUACAUAUAUAAAGUUAGCUUUCCUCUCUUCUCAUGAUGCCACCUAAUCAUCCACCUAAACACCAUUUUUAAUUUAAACACUAAAAUAAUUUUAAAUAUGUAUUAUGAUCCUUUCCGAUUUCCGUAUUAGCUCUAAGUUCUUUCGGUCCUUUUCAUGAUCCCGACUUUCCGUAUUAUCUCUAAAUUCUUUCGGUCCUUUUUAUGAUCCCGACUUUCCGUAUUAGGUUUAAGCUCUUUCGGUCGUUUUUAUGAUCCCCGACUUUCUGUAUUAGCUCUAAGGUCUUUAGGUCCUUUUUAUGAUCCCCGACUUUGCGUAUUAGCUCUAAGCUCUUUCCGUCCAUUUUAUGAUCCCCGACUAUCCGAAUUAGCUCUAAGUUCUUUCGGUCCUUUUUUUGAUCCCCGACUUUCCGUAUUAGCUCUAAGCUCUUUCGGUCCUUAUUAUGAUCCCCGACUUUCCGUAUUAGCUCUAAGCUCUUUCGGUCCUUUUUAUGAUCCCCGAAUUUCCGUAUUAGCUCUGAGCUCUUUCGGUCCUUUUUAUGAUCCCCGACUUUCCGUAUUAGCUCUAAGUUCUUUCGGUCAUUUUUAUGAUCCCCGACUUUCCGUAUUAGCUCUAAGCUCUUUCGGUCCUUUUUAUGAUCCCCAACUUUCCGUAUUAGCUCUAAGUUCUAUCGGUCCUUUUUAUGAUCCCCGACUUUCCGUAUUACCUCUAAGUUCUUUCGGUCCUUUUUAUGAUCCCCGACUUUCCGUAUUAGCUCUAAGUUCUUUCGGUCCUUUUUAUGAUCCCCGACUUUCCGUAUUAGCUCUAAGUUCUUGAGGUCCUUUUUAUGAUCUCCGACUUUCCGUAUUAGCUCUAAGUUCUUUCGGUCCUUUUUAUGAUCCCCGACUUUCCGUAUUAGCUCUAAGUUCUUUCGGUCUUUUUUAUGAUCCCCGACUUUCCGUAUUAGCUCUAAGUUCUUUCGGUCCUUUUUAUGAUCCCCGACUUUCCGUAUUAGCUCUAAGUUCUUUCGGUCCUUUUUAUGAUCCCCGACUUUCCGUAUUAGCUCUAAGUUCUUUCGGUCCUUUUUAUGAUCCCCGACUUUCCGUAUUAGCUCUAAGUUCUUUCGGUCCUUUUUAUGAUCCCCGACUUUCCGUAUUAGCUCUAAGUUCUUUCGGUCCCUUUUACGAUCCCCGACUUUCCGUAUUAGCUCUAAGUUCUUUCGGUCCUUUUUAUGAUCCCCAACUUUCCGUAUUAGCUCCAAGUUCUUUCGGUCCUUUUUAUGAUCCCCGACUUUCCGUAUUAGCUCUAAGUUCUUUCGGUCCUUUUAUGAUCCCCGACUUUCCGUAUUAGCUCUAAGUUCUUUCGGUCCUUUUUAUGAUCCCCGACUUUCCGUAUUAGCUGUAAGUUCUUUCGGUCCUUUUUAUGAUCCCCGACUUUCCGUAUUAGCUCUAAGUUCUUUCGGUCCUUUUUAUGAUCCCCCGACUUUCCGUAUUAGCUCUAAGUUCUUUCGGUCUUUUUUAUGAUCCCCGACUUUCCGUAUUAGCUCUAAGUUCUUUCGGUCCUUUUUAUGAUCCCUGACUUUCCGUAUUAGCUCUAAGUUCUUUCGGUCCUUCCGUAUUAGCUCUAAGUUCUUUCGGUCUUUUCUAUGAUCCCAGACUUUCCGUAUUAGCUCUAAG
rnacentral:lncRNA from 1 species